rnacentral:lncRNA from 1 species
UGUGCAACCAGUGAGUGUAAUUUAAUGAAUAAUCACCUAACCCCCCCCCCCCCCCCAUAUACGAAUUUAUCUACAAUUGUUUAAUAUGAAAAUAAUUGAUUAUGAAUUAUAAGUAAAAAUUGUAUCCAUUCUGCCGUACACUUGCACCAUUUUGUGAAAUCGAAGCACCAUGCAACCGUACAGGUGGAGUCUAAAAGCUGGUCAAGCAAAUCCAUGGUGCCUUUUAAGAGCGUCACCGGCAAAACCUAAGACUUCUGGUGGCUGGCCAGUGGCCCUCUCAGAACAGCCAGAAAACCACCGGUGAACGGUGGUUGGCGAUCCAGAUACAGAUUAUCUGUAUAUAUCUGCAUUAGGAGCUUGGUGAACAAAAGACAAACUGUCAAUUCUUAAACCUAACUUCAAAGAAAUUAAUUUCAAGAAGAAAUAUUGCAUAUCUUUGAUAAAGAAUUAUUAUUAACUUCCAUUAUGAUCAAUUAGUUCGCAAUUAGAAAGAGUUCUUUUUGUUUCAAUUCCAUAUAACCUGACAGUAAAUUAAGAAAUGAAUAAAAUACUUCUGAGACCAGAAAUUAAUUGAUAAAUACAUGUCUGAUGGCAAUUUGCUUAUUAACAGAUACAUCAGAUGGAAGUGGCGGUGCCGGUUAUGACUGUGAAAUAGCCAAGAAUAUUAACACCGCCAUGAUCAAGACUGGGACGAUGAAAACAAUGACAGGCGGCGGUGGAAGUGGUGGCAGAACCAGUGGCAACACCAGGAGUGUUACUGUAAACAGUAUCAUUAUUAUGAUCCACCCAAAACAAGAAUUCCUCAGCAUCAGAUUCUUGAACUGCCCUUUUUCUUCAUUUUUCAUCACCUCAAACGCCAUAGUUUCUUCAAAUCUCUUGAAUAUCACCUUCAUGCAUUUCAACAGAAAACAACACUGAUAUAAAUGGCCUCUUUAUGUCUCUGUUUAUGUCUUUACAACGGGGAGAAGACGCGUAAGCUGACAAAGCAGGAUCAAUUGUGGGGUGGAUACAUAGUAUCCUAGGAUUUAUUUUUUUUUUUCUUUAAUUUUUUUUUUAUCUGUUUCUUUUCUAAUAUAUUUGGGAGUUGGGAGUUUUUCACAUUGGAAUUUGCUUUUAAAAUUGAUUAAGCAAGCAAACCCAGUUGAUCUUGCCUCCUUCUUUCCUUUUUUUUUUUUUCUUUUUUAUGGCUACAUUUCUUUUCAAAAAAAAAUUUGACUAACUGGCAUUCUAAAUUUUGUAUAAUAACAAUUUCAAAGAUUUGUGUUGCCAUUUUAAUCUUUUGAGUUGAAGCUGCAUCCUAUAAGGUCUUGAAUGCAAAGAAAGUAGAUGAUUUCAACAUGAAAGUUGGUCUAAUUAUAAACAAAAAUGAUAGAUGUGCACUCCAACAUUUGAUGUGUUGUUAAAAAGGUUAGAGGGAAAUUUGUUUAUUUUUUUAAGCUGUCCAAUGCUAUGUUGCCUCGUG